UACGGAGGGUGCAAGCGUUAAUCGGAAUUACUGGGCGUAAAGCGCACGCAGGCGGUCUGUCAAGUCGGAUGUGAAAUCCCCGGGCUCAACCUGGGAACUGCAUCCGAAACUGGCAGGCUAGAGUCUUGUAGAGGGGGGUAGAAUUCCCGGUGUAGCGGUGAAAUGCGUAGAGAUCGGGAGGAAUACCAGUGGCGAAGGCGGCCUUCUGGGAUAACACUGACGCUCAUGUGCGAAAGUGUGGGUAGCGAACAGG
rnacentral:misc_RNA from 1 species